UACCAUCGCAAAAAAAAGCGGGCCAGUGUCAUACCUCGGACGAGUCGUCAGUGAAGGGGUGGGUUUUAUGCAACUUUUCCGUCUGUCCACUCUUUGUUCAUCAAUGUUCCGUGAGGCGGGCGUUACUGACUGACUGCCCGGCUGCACAAUGCCUGCGCAGUAACUGGAGCGCAGUGGGUUUGUUCACCAGGCCACGGCUGCAGCGGUAAAAUGGCGGCGAGAGUGGUGUAACUGUCAACGAUCUCCCUACCGACGAGGAAGGAUAGGGCGAAGAAGAAAUGCAGUAUCGGUAACACCUCUGUGCAGCUUUAGCAAAGAUGCUGCAACAUUCCUUUCUCUGCUCACAGCCGAAAGCCCUCCUCCAGGACUUGCAGAAGCUCUGUGAGUGUGUCGGUACUCGGCUGUCAGUGUCCGGCAGAGGAGGUCCCGAUGCCUUAGCAGUAUCUGCCAACGAAAGUGUGGUCCUGCUGAAGCUCUAAACGAGACACCUCUCCAGCGAUGAGCCAACAUCACCCGCCACCUAGUCCACAAUUGCUUUUCUUUAGCGGUUAGGAAUAUUUUUUUUUUGUACCAGAAUUACAUGUAGAACAUAUAAAUGAAGGGCUUCAGUGGAUUGCAGGUCUUUUCAUUAAGGGAUCCAUACAAUUAAUACAUUUGUCUUGGAUGCUGUAUAAUUACCUCUUUUGGUCUUGCACCCUGCUAGUUAUUUUGUGUGUCCUAAACAUAAAGGUUCACUAGAAGCAGAGAAAACAAACUUACCAGGUUCUAUGUAUGUUUCAAGCGCUAGUUUAUUAUUUUUUCUGUGUCCACUCAGACCAUUGAGUGUCCAUGUAGUCAUGUUUUCCAUCACCGGUCUAUUAUCUCUUACCACCAGCGACAUUACUGCAGUAACUUGAACAUAUUUUAGUGAAACAACCAACCUGAAACUUACAAGUCAGAUAGAACCAAGAUCCCAAACUAUUGAAGAUGCAUCUCAGGUUGGGGUCAGAUUCACAGUAAUUGUCCAUCUGUUUAGGAAAGAAAGUGAGACCAAACCAGUAAUACUAUUGCCAGCCAAAACACUGAGUGUGUUUCUGAAACAAACAUCCAAUGAAACAUUCGUAUUUGUUAGACGGCAGCUUCUAAAUUCUAUUUUUGUGUGGCAUGUAUUUCAUUCACAGACCACAAUUGCCGAGGGUAAUCUUUUUUCAUUGUGACUCGCAGUGGGUUAAUGAGCAGAACUGUCUUUACUACAAAACCCUGGAUAUUCAGUAAUAGCAUCUGGAAAUCAGAAUCCACACAAGCAAAAUGUGAGAUCAGAACUACGAGUUCAGCUGUUCAGUUUCUGCUGCAGUAAUAUCCAGAAAAGUGUUUAAAGUGGGCACUAUCUGGUCUUCACUGGCAUUUCUGGAGGGAGCGUCACAUUGGCUCUGGCGCUCCCAUGGGUUAGGGAGGCAAAACCCUCAGGGUCUGUUUUACCUCAUCGCACCACAGCAGACCCUACUGUCCAGAUGCCUGGUGAGCUCAAGCGGACACCUGCAGGGCUGGCCUUUCUCCUCCAGAGGCUGGUAGCUCUCCCACUGAACCUUCAGUUCUCCUGAGGUGUGUGGGGAAUUGCUGUGGUGAGGGAGCAUAAUUGGAUGAUCUAAAUUGGCAAGAAAAUUGAGGGCACUCUCAAAAUAAUUAAAUAAAUAAAGUGGUCACUACACCCAAACGUUUGCAUUUAAGGUAGUCCACCAUGCAUCAUUUAGCAGAACUAUUCUGACCGAAGUUUACUUCUAAUGGUUAUAAUGAUUGAGCAGUACAGUGAUCUUUCAGGGUGGUACAAGAGCAGGGUGCUGAAUCGCUUAGAUUGAUAAAGUUAAAGCUGCAAGAUGUUAAAGCUUUGCAUGGCUAAACCCUGUAAUUGUCUCCAUGAGUUUCUUGUACAGGUCUAACACUUGUGAGGGCUGCUUCCAAAUGCUGUGAGUAUCGACAGAUGGAUGACCCCUCUGUGACAGAGGGGUCAUCCACGAAUGGUCUUACCUGCCCCUCUGUCCAAUUGGACUAGAACCCAUUUUUAUGAAAAAGUACAGUCAAACCUGCUUACUGUAUAAUUAUCACUGUAUACCCCUAAAGCUGUAGUUGAUUUUAUGUUUUUAAUGCAGGUCUGCUGUACACUGGAUAUUCAGCAAUAUUGUUUGGGAAUCAAAUCCAAACAUGCAAAAUACAAGUGCAGAUACACAAACCAUCACUGCUGUGUAUAUUCCCAUACAGCACUAGCAGAUGCUGUCCUACAAAAAGAGAUUGCAAAACGUAACCUUCCAUUGACUUGCAUGAGGAAUGGCUUUUCAGUAUGCGUGAAUCCGUCUUUCGGGUGAGAUGUAAUUGUGAUUCUGCAGUUGAUGCAUAGUUCACACACCCUAGUCUCUGUAAGUCACCUUGGAUAAAGGCGUCUGCUAAAUAAACUAAUAAUAAUGUACCUUAUUUUCUGACGACUAUGCCCAAAUAAAAUGUUUAUGAAAAACAUGUUUUAUUAUUUUUUUUAAGACCAUUUUACAGUGUAGCAUUUACAUUUGACUUAUAUGCUAGAAAGUAUGGCUUGACAGUUUUGAGAGAAAAAAAAAUAAAUCCUCAGGGCAAUAAAGGAUGUGUAUAAAUUAUCAAUACUGUCACAGUAAUCAGUUGUCCCAACCCUACAGAGCGAGCAAUCAUCUUUUAGUUUCUGUUUUUGCCAAAUUACAAGUGAUGAUAAUAAACUCAUACUCCCCAGCUAAUGGAAGCAGCCAUGAUAUUGUUAUACUGCAUUUAUUUCCCCUUUCCUUACCCUAAAAUUUCACCUGAAUUUAUGGGCAUGUGCAAUAUGUUUUUAUAUAGAAUUGUGAAACAAGUGACAAGUUGUUUUGAGAACAACAAAAUCACCACGUCUUCCAUUUUAAGAUGUAUAGUUCCAUGUGCAUUAGCUUAGUAGCAAUCUGUAGUGCCAUAUUAGUGGCCAUGCAUGAGGUUAGCGUUGCUUGCAUAUGAAUAACUAAACAAGAAAUCGAAACUUGAUUGAGCUACUAAUGUACAAUGCAGCAUCCCUUUUUUAAACAAAACUGAGCGUUGGAUUUAGUGUUACCUGUAAUAAAUACUAACACAAUAGUUUUAGAAUUGCGUAGUAGAUUACUGCUUAGCUAAACUAAUUUUAAUGCAAAAUACCUCAAGUUUUGGAAUGUCGAUAGCACAAAUCAAGCCAUACUAUUAAUAGAAUUUUAGAAGCAAUAAUAAUGUUAUGCAUGAACUAGUAUCGGAAUGGAAAUAUAUAUGAAUUAGGAAUUAAGUAGAACGAAUAACCUGUUGUAAAAAUGUUUUUAGUGAGAAAGGGAUUUGUUUGUUUUUAAGUGUUUUUUUUUUCUUUUUAAAGAUUACUGACGGGUGGCAUUUUCUGUUGCCUGUUGUAGGCUGUAAUUACAAACAUACUGUUCCCUUUGUUAAAAAACAGCCUACACCAAAUUGUUCUUGAUUAUUUUGCCAUUGUAUUAAUGCUGCUCAUACCCAUCAAACUCCCCCAACUACUGAUGGGGUAGAAUGCGUUUCGGCGUAACUGAUAUCCUGUGCUUGUAGCAUUUACAGCAGCUUGAGGCCACAUGUCAAAUAUAACAUGCAAUUUUCCUUGAAACACGAGUAGCAGAAAGAAAACUAAUUCUUCAAAUUAGUGCAGUAUGAAUAUGUUUGAUAAAUAAUCCUAUUCUUAACGCAUUUAAAGGUAAAAUGCUUAAAUGUGUUGGCUGGCUUUAUUGCUGUUAACAAAAGGUAGCCAGAAUUCUUACUUUAAUCUACCUACAGAAAAUGCCUCACGUUAUGUAAUCAGUUCAUUUUGAAAGAGCAGUUUAUGGUGUUUGUAUAGAUAUUAUAUACAACCUGUAAACAAAAUUGUCUUUUUGAUUGUCCCAUUUGACACCUGACCACUGUGAAAUGUGGGAGUUGUGUGGUACACAGUUGUAGGCUUUUAAUUUACUAGGUCAAGUGUACUGGGCUUUGUAUUAGUCUGUUUGUUUUCCUAAUGUUCUUUCUCUGAGAGGAAAGUAUAGGCAGAUAGUUGAAAAUGAUUUAGGAAAGAAAGAGUGAAUUAGUCCUCUUAUAUUAUGCAUGUUACAAUAGUGUUAUACUAGGUUAUUACUAAAGUCAAAUAUGCAAAGGCAAAUCCUCAGAUAGUAGUGCUGGGAUGAACAUGGGUUUUUCAUGUAUGAAUAUCAAAAUUCAAGCGAGUAUUCCCUUCAUUUUUAAUUGGCUGAAAAAAAAAAAAAUCUCUUGGGACUAAUACCACCGUCAAAAUACCAAAGAGAGACUUUCUUCUGUGCAGUAGUAUGUGUGUUAUUAAGACAUCAUUAUGCAUUGUUUUUAAACAUAUAGAUUUUUCAUAUUCAUUUAUGAAUUCUGUUAUAGGAAUGAAUACAAAUUUGGUCACUGUUGUCUGCAAAUACAUUUCAAUUGUUUAAGGUUUGAAAAAAGUGACACAAAACUGUAUGUGUGUGCAGUUGCUGAAGGUAUGUUGACAAGACACUAAGCAGCCUGACCACAUUUAUUGAGUAAUUUGUCCCAUCACUACUAGACAGAUCUAUUGUGUUCUAAAAGCAAUUGUUGUAUUGUUUUAUAAACAUACCGAACAAGGUGUGACAAACUGUAUGUGUAUCAUUUUAGUGACAAGUCGGUUUUAUUUCUAAGCAGAGUGAAUUAACAAGAAGCAUUGCUUAAAGGUAUGUGGAGGAGACAUGAAGCUGGCUGGUUACAUUUUCCAAGUAAUUUUGUUUAGUUUUUCUUCAGCAGAAUUGUCACUUUUAUGGGUCAUAGGAAAACUGCUUUAUUGUGUUUACAAAUAUGUUCUGUACUGGUUGUUGAGAUUAGCCAGACUGGAUUUAGUUCAUAUUGCUGCAACUUUAUGAAGAAUUCUGUAAUGUGUUUAGGGUGGUGGGUAAAAUUUUAAAAAAUGGGGUUAAACUAACAUGGCCAUUCAUUCUUUCAGAUAUGCCUAUGUGUUAAGCUAAUUUGAAUGCAUUCUGGCUAUUACUGUCAUGAGAGCUAAUUGGUAUAAAUAGCUUAUAAAUACAUGCUCUAGUAGUUCUAUUUUUGGUUCUAGUUGUAUGUUCAGCAGCUUAAUGCCAAACUAAAUGCAGCAUGAUUUUACCAACCAGUGUUCCUUGACUUUAACAGCAACAACAAAGCAUUUCUGAAAACAGUUGCCAUAGCUAGUGGUAUUUGAAUAAUUCAGGGCAUCUGAAUUGCAGUUUAAUGUUUCUGUUUUCACUGUAUCACUCAGUUUGUUCAACAUAUAUCGAUACCAAUACAGUAGUUCUUUUGUAUGUCAACAGAAUGAUGUGUGUGUGAUUUUACAUCACCGUUUUAAACACCGCCCUGCACUGGGUACAGUAAGAAAUGUAUUCUUUCAAGUAAGCACAGUAUACAUCAAAAAUUCCAGUUUUGUAUAUUUCUAUAAGGAGCAUCACCAAUUAAGUGUUUUGUUCCUUUAGCUUGUUUUUAUGUAUUUUAAUUAAUUGUAUUGCUUAUUGCUUUAAACUAUGCACUUCAGAAAAAAGAAAGCUCAUGGAUUUGAAUACUGAGAUGGAUUUGUAAAACUGUAACCUCUGUAUCAAAAACUUCUACAGCAAUAAAAGCAGCACGGUGCCAGUUGUGCACUAGACUCU